UUCACCGAUUAGCCUGGAUAUAUAAGACUACAAAAAUCCAAAAAAUCUGGGUAGAAUCUUACAUGAACUUAGCCAAGCCAGUCCAACAAAUUCUCUCCAAAUUAUUCUUUAAUUUCCCAUUCCCAAUGGAACCCAGAGAAAACUCAAUGAACUUUAGUGAAAACUAUUACCUUUUUUAUGAUUAAUUUUAGCUUACAGCAACAAAACCUUCCAACAUGAUGGGUAAGGUAGGGGUAGGGGUAGGGCAAUGUGGCUUAGCAACAGUGAAAUCCAACUUCAGAAGUAUGAAUUCUUGAAAUUAUGUUGAUAUAUAUCCUCAAAGAAUGCCAAAAGCAGUGGAAUCAUUAUAAAUGCCCAAGAAUGGGAAGGAUGUCGAUCGAGAUGCAGAGGUAGCGCGGUGCAUGUUAACACCAACCAAGGAUACAAAGCUGACACCUACAGCUAAUGGAAGUGUUG
rnacentral:lncRNA from 1 species